UGCGGACAUAUCAUAACGAAGAGGUAUCGUAAUUGAAGAGGUUUGGAAAGACCCACCACAGAAGGUAAUAGUCCUGUAUGUUAAACGAGAAGACUUCAGAUAUGAUCCAGAGUACCACGGGACACGUGAAACCCUGUGGGAAGCAGGAGGGACCACCCUCCAAGGCUAAAUACUACCUAGUGACCGAUAGCGUAUAGUACCGUGAGGGAAAGGUGAAAAGAACCCCGGGAGGGGAGUGAAAUAGAACCUGAAACCCUGCACUUACAAGCUGUGGAAGCACAUUUCUUGUGUGACCGCGUACUUUUUGUAGAACGGGCCAACGAGUUACGUUAAGUAGCAAGGUUAAGCACUUAAGGUGCGGAGCCGUAGCGAAAGCGAGUUUUAACUGAGCGUUCAGUUACUUGACGUAGACCCGAAACCGGGCGACCUACCCAUGAGCAGGAUGAAGCGAAAGUAAAAUUUCGUGGAGGUCCGAACCCACGAGCGUUGAAAAGCUCGGGGAUGACUUGUGGGUAGCGGUGAAAUUCCAAUCGAGCCCGGAGAUAGCUGGUUCUCCCCGAAAUAGCUUUAGGGCUAGCCUCAAGGUGAGAGAUACGGAGGUAGAGCACUGAAUGUCCUAGGGGGUAUUGCACCUACCGAAGACUAUCAAACUCCGAAUGCCGUCAUCUUAUACUUGGGAGUCAGACUGUGGGUGAUAAGAUUCAUAGUCGAAAGGGCAACAGCCCAGAUCGUCAGCUAAGGUCCCUAAAUGUAAGUUAAGUGGUAAAGGAUGUGGGAUUGCACAGACAACCAGGAUGUUGGCUUAGAAGCAGCCACUCAUUCAAAGAGUGCGUAAUAGCUCACUGGUCGAGUGAUCCUGCGCCGAAGAUUUCCGGGGCUAAAACUUACUACCGAAGCUACGGCAUCAGUAAUGAUGGGUAGGGGAGCUUCCCAUACGGGUUGAAGCAUGACCGUAAGGACAUGUGGACAGUAUGGGAGUGAGAAUGUUGGCAUGAGUAGCGAGAUGUGGGUGAGAAUCCCACAGGCCGUAAACCCAAGGUUUCCAGGGGAAGGUUCGUCCGCCCUGGGUUAGUCGGGACCUAAGCUGAGGCCGAAAGGCGUAGGUGAUGGACAACAGGUUGAUAUUCCUGUACUACCGAUAACCGUUUGAGAGAAGGGAUGACACAGUAGGAUAAGCUAAGCACACUGUUGGUUAUGUGUGCCCAAGCAUUGAGGCAGUCAAAGUAGGCAAAUCCGCUUUGAUAAUGCUGGGAUGUGAUGGGGAGCGAAAUUUAGUAGCGAAGUAGCUGAUUUCACACUGUCAAGAAAAGUCUCUAUCGAGGUUAAAGGUACCCGUACCGCAAACCGACACAGGUGGGUGAGGAGAGUAUCCUAAGGCCAGCGAGAGAACUGUUGUUAAGGAACUCGGCAAAAUGACCCCGUAACUUAGGGAUAAGGGGUGCCACCAUCAGGUGGCCGCAGAGAAUAGGCCCAAGCGACUGUUUACCAAAAACAUAGGUUUCUGCUAAGUCGCAAGACGAUGUAUAGGAGCUGACGCCUGCCCGGUGCUGGAAGGUUAAGGGGAUCUGUUAGAGCAAUCGAAGCAGUGAACUUAAGCCCCAGUAAACGGCGGCCGUAACUAUAACGGUCCUAAGGUAGCGAAAUUCCUUGUCGGGUAAGUUCCGACCCGCACGAAAGGCGUAACGAUUUGGGCACUGUCUCAACAACAGACUCGGUGAAAUUGUAAUUCCGGUGAAGAUGCCGGAUACCUGCGACAGGACGGAAAGACCCCAUGGAGCUUUACUGUAGCUUGACAUUGGGUCUUGGUACUACAUGUACAGGAUAGGUGGGAGGCUUUGAAACCAGGACGCCAGUUUUGGCGGAGCCAUCCUUGGGAUACCACCCUUGUAGUACUGGGACUCUAACCAUAGGCCAUGAAUCUGGUCUUGGGACACUGUCAGGUGGGCAGUUUGACUGGGGCGG
rnacentral:rRNA from 1 species